rnacentral:RNase_P_RNA from 1 species
GGAGCGGACCUGGCGGCCGCUGUCACGCCGCCCGAUCGGCGGCGGCGGCAGAGGAAAGUCCGAACUGGACAGGGCACGGCGGUGGCUAACGGCCACCGGGCGCAAGCCCAGGGAAAGUGCCACAGAAAACAAACCGCCGAUGGCGGUCGACGCGCGCGCCGGCCGCUCAGGCAAGGGUGAAACGGUGCGGUAAGAGCGCACCGCGCGGCCGGUGACGGUCGCGGCACGGCAAACCCCGCCGCCAGCAAGCCCAAGUAAGGGGCGAGAGCCGGCCCGGCUCGCUACCAGCCCCGGGUAGGGCGCACGAGCGCGCCGGCAACGGCGCGCCCAGAUGAAUGGCCGCCGUCUCGAUUCGUCGGGACACAGAAUUCGGCUUACGGUCCGCUCCGCCA